UUAGUUUCCUCUGCGUCGUGAGCGCUCACCAGGUAGGGAGAACGGAUCCAGUUGACUCCACCUCCAUUCCAACCAAAUUACUUGAAAAUAGGGAAACAAAUUCUGCCGGGGACAACUACCUUGACAUGACUGCCACAAUAAAAACUGAAGGUCCAGGAGCCUCGGGUACAGCACAGACAGGUCCCAAGUCUGUCACAGGACACAGAGACACAGACACAGUUCAACUAAACUAACCCAACUUACUGCAUGUCUUUGGACUAUGUGGGAAGGUGAGAACUCCUGCAGACACAGGGAGAAGAUGCAAACUACACAGAGAAAGACACUGGCCAGAUGCUGGAUUUGUGAGAUAAGUUGUGAGAUAACAGUGUUAACCACUGCAUCACUAUGCUGUUGUGCUGUAAUUUAAAGGUUUCUAUAUAAUGUAUAACCAGGAAGGUACUUGUGUUUUGAGAUUUAAAAAAAAGCAAAACAUUUCUCGGUUCUGGCAAUUAGAUUUGGUUUCAUUUUUCUUGAUGAUUUUCAUAGUAAACUCAAAAAUCUUUUAGUUCUGAACUGCUAGCUGGCCAAUGAAAGCAAUAUGAAGAUGUCCCUUUUGGUUCUAAUAUAUUGUUAUUGACACAGCAGUCUGGUAUUUAUUUUUAUUGGACCUACCAGUAAUAAAAACACUCAUUGGCUAUAGUAGGGUUCUUAAAGGGGGAGAUACAAUGUGUGCUGUGAGAAAAGUCCAUUGUGCAGAGUUGCCAAAAGAAUGACUGAAUUAUAAGAUGUUUGUGUAAACUGCACAAGCAUACCCAUCACUGUCCAUCAGUAAAAUAAAACUGCACCUGUUUAUGUUUA